UUUUUAAGAGUUCAAGAAAUUGUGAGUUUUUCCCACUUCUCUGAAGGUUUUUUAUGGAAAAAUUUUGAUCCAAGAAAAUCCAACCGUUCAAAUUCAAAUUCAAUUUUGGAAACGUGAUCUACAAAGCCCGAUCUACGUUUCUAUAGAUUAGUUGAGGAUUUGCACGGUUUGGAGCUUCCUAAACACUUCCCUAGUGUUGGAUUUAGUUUGGGCAAGUUUUGUUACGCAUUGCAAGGUGGUGUCUAGGAGACCUAGUGCUUAAUAUCUGCGCAGCCAAGACGGUGGGCUCAUAAUUCCACCUGUGCGGAUGCAGCAACCCCCGCAAUCAUGCAGACAUUGAUACUUUGGCUGCAGGUUCUGCGGAUAUAGAUAUUGACUCGUCCACCUAGCGUAUAUGAUGCUAUGAUUGGAGUACAUUGCGACAGUCAUAAGUCACAGACUCAUGGAUAGUCUACAUUUGAGUAUUUUAAUUAUGGCUCGUGUCCUACGUGGCAUAUGUAUUUGUUCAGCCUGUGUUUUACUAUGUAAUUAUUGUAAUGUGUUUUAUAAGCCUUAAAUAGAUAGACUUGUAAAUGACUCUUGUUGUAGUAAACUGUUAUGUAUUAGAUGUGUUUCCGCUUAUGAUAUGUGUUC